rnacentral:rRNA from 1 species
GGGUUGUGAGGUUAAGCGACUAAGCGUACACGGUGGAUGCCCUGGCAGUCAGAGGCGAUGAAGGACGUGCUAAUCUGCGAUAAGCGUCGGUAAGGUGAUAUGAACCGUUAUAACCGGCGAUUUCCGAAUGGGGAAACCCAGUGUGAUUCGUCACACUAUCAUUAACUGAAUCCAUAGGUUAAUGAGGCGAACCGGGGGAACUGAAACAUCUAAGUACCCCGAGGAAAAGAAAUCAACCGAGAUUCCCCCAGUAGCGGCGAGCGAACGGGGAGGAGCCCAGAGCCUGAAUCAGUGUGUGUGUUAGUGGAAGCGUCUGGAAAGGCGCGCGAUACAGGGUGACAGCCCCGUACACAAAAAUGCACAUGCUGUGAGCUCGAUGAGUAGGGCGGGACACGUGGUAUCCUGUCUGAAUAUGGGGGGACCAUCCUCCAAGGCUAAAUACUCCUGACUGACCGAUAGUGAACCAGUACCGUGAGGGAAAGGCGAAAAGAACCCCGGCGAGGGGAGUGAAAAAGAACCUGAAACCGUGUACGUACAAGCAGUGGGAGCCUCUUUUAUGGGGUGACUGCGUACCUUUUGUAUAAUGGGUCAGCGACUUAUAUUCUGUAGCAAGGUUAACCGAAUAGGGGAGCCGAAGGGAAACCGAGUCUUAACUGGGCGUUAAGUUGCAGGGUAUAGACCCGAAACCCGGUGAUCUAGCCAUGGGCAGGUUGAAGGUUGGGUAACACUAACUGGAGGACCGAACCGACUAAUGUUGAAAAAUUAGCGGAUGACUUGUGGCUGGGGGUGAAAGGCCAAUCAAACCGGGAGAUAGCUGGUUCUCCCCGAAAGCUAUUUAGGUAGCGCCUCGUGAAUUCAUCUCCGGGGGUAGAGCACUGUUUCGGCAAGGGGGUCAUCCCGACUUACCAACCCGAUGCAAACUGCGAAUACCGGAGAAUGUUAUCACGGGAGACACACGGCGGGUGCUAACGUCCGUCGUGAAGAGGGAAACAACCCAGACCGCCAGCUAAGGUCCCAAAGUCAUGGUUAAGUGGGAAACGAUGUGGGAAGGCCCAGACAGCCAGGAUGUUGGCUUAGAAGCAGCCAUCAUUUAAAGAAAGCGUAAUAGCUCACUGGUCGAGUCGGCCUGCGCGGAAGAUGUAACGGGGCUAAACCAUG